GUCAUUUUCCAGCAUCCGAAGUAGGAAGUAUUGAGUGUCUCUUCCUUCUCUCAACUGACUUACAGUCACAGUGCUUUUCUCUGGCUUGUGGCAGGAUUGUUUCUCUGUUAGCAACUUAUUUUUUAAUACACCAUUCUGACACCUUGACAGUUCAUGUGCUAAAUCAAACUUUACAAUUACUGGCAGGCAGUUAUUAGAUGUAUUGCACUUAAUUAACUUUGCACCUAAUUACAAGCAGUGCUGGCCGAUUACAAAGGGCAUAAAUAUAUUAGUGCCCUAGCUGUCACAUCAUGAACAUAGCUGUUUGAACAAGUCAAGCAAAAGCAAUUACCGCAUUGUGUGCAUGGUGAAGUGUAGCAGAGUGCAGAAAGAGGAAUGAACUGUUUUACUAUUUGCAAGAAUUUAAUUUUGCACUUUGCAUUUCAGGUGACCCAGAUGAGCAAAGAGUAUGAUAAAAGAUUUCCUUUUGUCUGUAUAAAUACUUCAGGAUUGCUUCAUGUGUGUGAAGAGAAAACAAAAGUUGCAUGAUGGCUACUCCUUUGUCAUUACUACAUGGCUGCUGCUUUUUUCUAAUUGCCACUGGUUAAAGUAUUCAACCCCUAUGGUCAGUUAAGAUAUUUUUCUUUUGUUCUGCUUUCUUGUAUUAUAAUCACACAGUGGAGGAAAUAGGGAUAUAUGCAGAAAUAUAUGUCUCUACUCAGUUUUGAAGCAGAAUAUCACAGCUUUAUGAUAUCUUGCUAGUGUGUGAGGGGCUGCUUCCUCCUGGACAAAUUGUGGGCUGUGGUGAGAGGCACUGCUUGACGAGGCCAAGAGCCACAGCCCUGCAGGACACAGGAAUCCCACUUCUCCUCAAGGUUUUCAGGGUCUCAGCAAGAACUUGAGGUCCUGCCUCUUACAGGUGAGAUGCUACAGUCAUUCAGCACAUUGUUGUGUAUCUGGUAUCUGGUUCUUGCACAAGGCAGGAACCAGAUACCAGAUACCCAGUCCCAGUGGUGAUGUCCUCUCACUUGAAGCAUGGCUGUUAAUAAGUAUUUAGAGUCGAUCGUAUGUAAGCAUUGAACGGUUGCCCUGUUUUAUUCCUGCCCCCCACUCCUAUACAUGGAUUGAGAAUGGAAAUAAUAAGGAAAAGGCUGGGAAGUCAACUAUGGCAAUUAUUUUCCCCAUUUGUGUUGCAUUUCAUCAGCCACUGUUGAGUCCUCAGUUUUGCCGUAUUUAUCAUAUUUGCUUUCAUGGAACAUUGACAGAAAACUGAGUUAGUAGUUCUUGUUUUUCUGUAGCUGAGAGAUUUCUUGGUCAUGGCCUCUGAAGACUUAUAGCCUUAGUGCUCUCCUGAGACGCCAGGACUUCUAAGAUCCAAGCAAGUCAUGUUAUGUGGCUUUUACCCUUUUUCUAGAAGCAACUAAAGAAAAACUGCAGUGAUAUAAGAAGAAUUGACAGGUAUGUAAAAGCACCCUGUCUCGAUUUUCUAUCUAAGUCUGCUUUGUUCAUGGAACUGUAUACUUUAUAGUUUGACUUUUACACUCUG
rnacentral:lncRNA from 1 species